rnacentral:rRNA from 1 species
UACGAAGGGGCUAGCGUUGUUCGGAAUCACUGGGCGUAAAGGGCGCGUAGGCGGCUUUAUAAGUCGGGGGUGAAAGCCUGUGGCUCAACCACAGAAUUGCCUUCGAUACUGUAGAGCUUGAGACCGGAAGAGGUAAGUGGAACUGCGAGUGUAGAGGUGAAAUUCGUAGAUAUUCGCAAGAACACCAGUGGCGAAGGCGGCUUACUGGUCCGGUUCUGACGCUGAGGCGCGAAAGCGUGGGGAGCAAACAGG